AGUUGCAGUGUGUCUGCCUAUCUACACUUGCUGUGCAGAAUAUCCUCCAACCUGUACAGCAGGCACAGACAGGCAGAUA
ensembl:miRNA